AUAAUGAUACUUCCGCAAGGCUCCCGUGGACUGAGGAGAGGUGAAAUUCCUAUGU
rnacentral:ncRNA from 1 species